CUACGGGCGGCUCCAGUGGGGAAUCUUGGACAAUGGGCGCAAGCCUGAUCCAGCCAUGCCGCGUGAGUGAAGAAGGCCUUAGGGUCGUAAAGCUCUUUCGCCAGAGAUGAUAAUGACAGUAUCUGGUAAAGAAACCCCGGCUAACUCCGUGCCAGCAGCCGCGGUAAUACGGAGGGGGUUAGCAUUGUUCGGAAUUACUGGGCGUAAAGCGCGCGUAGGCGGAUUAGUCAGUCAGAGGUGAAAUCCCAGGGCUCAACCCUGGAACUGCCUUUGAUACUGCUAGUCUUGAGUUCGAGAGAGGUGAGUGGAAUUCCGAGUGUAGAGGUGAAAUUCGUAGAUAUUCGGAGGAACACCAGUGGCGAAGGCGGCUCACUGGCUCGAUACUGACGCUGAGGUGCGAAAGUGUGGGGAGCAAACAGGAUUAGAUACCCCUGUAGUC
rnacentral:rRNA from 1 species